rnacentral:rRNA from 1 species
AGAGUUUGAUCCUGGCUCAGAACGAACGCUGGCGGCGUGCCUAACACAUGCAAGUCGCACGAGAAAGGGGACUUCGGUCCCUGAGUAGAGUGGCAGACGGGUGAGUAACACGUGGGUAACCUGCCCCUGAGUGGGGAAUAACCCAGGGAAACUUGGGCUAAUACCGCAUAAUAUCGCUUUUUCCCUGGAAAGAGCGAUUAAAGGUGGGGAUCGAAAGACCUACCGCUUAGGGAGGGGCCCGCGUCUGAUUAGCUUGUUGGUGGGGUAAUGGCCUACCAAGGCUUCGAUCAGUAGCCGGCCUGAGAGGGUGAUCGGCCACACUGGAACUGAGACACGGUCCAGACUCCUACGGGAGGCAGCAGUGAGGAAUCUUGCGCAAUGGGCGAAAGCCUGACGCAGCAACGCCGCGUGGAUGAUGAAGGCCUUCGGGUCGUAAAAUCCUGUCAGGAGGGAAGAAAUGGUAGCGGGCCAACACCCCGUUAUUUUGACUGUACCUCCAGAGGAAGCCCCGGCUAACUCCGUGCCAGCAGCCGCGGUAAUACGGGGGGGGCCAGCGUUGUUCGGAAUUAUUGGGCGUAAAGGGCACGCAGGUGGUCGUGCAAGUCAGUUGUGAAAUCCCUUGGCUUACCCAAGGAACUGCUUCUGAUACUGCAUGACUUGAGUCCGGGAGAGGAGAGCGGAAUUCCCAGUGUUACGGUG